UACGGAGGGGGCUAGCGUUGUUCGGAAUUACUGGGCGUAAAGCGCACGUAGGCGGCUUGGUAAGUUAGAGGUGAAAGCCUGGAGCUCAACUCCAGAAUUGCCUUUAAGACUGCCGAGCUAGCAGGUGAGAGAGGUGAGUGGAAUUCCGAGUGUAGAGGUGAAAUUCGUAGAUAUUCGGAAGAACACCAGUGGCGAAGGCGGCUCACUGGCCCAUACUGGACGCUGAGGUGCGAAAGCGUGGGGAGCAAACAGG
rnacentral:rRNA from 1 species